GACGUAGGGCGCGAGCGUUGUCCGGAUUUAUUGGGCGUAAAGAGCUCGUAGGCGGCUUGUUGCGUCGGCUGUGAAAAACCCAUGGCUCAACCGUGGGCUUGCAGCCGAUACGGGCAGGCUAGAGUUCGGUAGGGGGAGACUGGAAUUCCUGGUGUAGCGGUGAAAAUGCGCAGAUAUCAGGAGGAACACCGGUGGCGAAGGCGGGUCUCUGGGCCGAUACUGACGCUGAGGAGCGAAAGCGUGGGGGAGCAAACAGG
rnacentral:rRNA from 1 species